GUCUAUGGCCAUGCUACCCUGAACGAGCCCGAUCCCGUCUGAUCUCGGAAGCUAAGCAGCAUCAGGCCUGGUUAAUACUUGGAUGAGAGAACACCUAGGACGACCAGGUGCUGUGGGCG
rnacentral:rRNA from 1 species